rnacentral:misc_RNA from 1 species
GAUGAAGAACGUAGCGAAAUGCGAUAAGUAAUGUGAAUUGCAGAAUUCAGUGAAUCAUCGAGUCUUUGAACGCACAUUGCGCCCCCUGGCAUUCCGGGGGGCAUGCCUGUCCGAGCGUCAUUGCUGCCCUUCAAGCCCGGCUUGUGUGUUGGGUCGUCGUCCCCCCCGGGGGACGGGCCCGAAAGGCAGCGGCGGCACCGCGUCCGGUCCUCGAGCGUAUGGGGCUUUGUCACCCGCUCGAUUAGGGCCGGCCGGGCGCCAGCCGGCGUCUCCAACCUUCUAUUUUACCAGGUUGACCUCGGAUCAGGUAGGGAUACCCGCUGAACUUAAGCAUAUCAAUAGCGGAGGA